ensembl:lncRNA
GAUGUGGGUGGGAAUGUCGGUAAACGGGUGAUGAGCACGCAGCCGUCUCACACUAACCACCGCCUCGAAAUACCAUCCAUCCCAGCCGCGACCGCCGAGGGCAGACAGGAAGUUCUGGCGAACCGCCGAUUUUGUGUUAUUCAAAACCCUCGUUCGUCGACUUCAGCAGACCCCCCCCCCCCUCCAACCCGCCCCUCGGCCAGUACCAGGACGAUGACAGCUUCCUCUCCUGCGCGGCUACGCGUGAGCUGACCCGAGGACUGCGGCCAAACACAUUCCUGCGGAGCCACCGGAGGCUCGGAGGCCGCUCUGCCUCCGUGCUUCCGGUGGUUGGGGCCGCGCUCGUGGUCAGACUGUCACAUGCGACAGGAUGGCAGGAGCGAGGGGGGGGGAUGUGGUAGAGAAAUAUGAUGCCGCCUAACUGUGCAUAUAGAGAGCCCUUGUCUCAGUAACUAUUCGUUGACCUUUGUGUGUGCACAAUUGUCUCCUACAUACAAACGUUCUCUUUUCUCCUGAACUAGAGGCUCGGUUUUAAACACCUGGUUUGCAUUGUAAACUGAAACAAAACAAAAACACAAGGAAACCACCUUCGUCAACAAAUACUUUUCAGGUUAGGUAAUACCAUCAUGGUUUGGCUUAAUAUAAUUACAAAUAUAAUUUAAGUAAUGGGCGCUGAAUCACUUACAAGUUAAAGUAGAUUUGGGGUUUCUUAACAGGAUGCAGCCGCCUCCCCGGGGAGAUUCCUUUUAUCCCCAAACAACCUCGACAUCCUCCCCAAGUGGACUUGGACACAUGUGUUUUAUGUCAAACCAGUUGGACAAGGAUCUUCAGGUGACCCCCCCCCCCGAGCAUCACAGACCUGAUGGCUCCCAUCGUGAUGACCCAGAACGAACUAGAGCCAAAGAGAUGAAGGUAAAGUCCACACAAUAUACUGGUGAUUAGAGUUUGACACUGAGGGCCUGUGCGGGACCGGACCCGAGGCAACAACACCUGCGAGCCUCCAGCUACAUCUCCACUGUAACAAUAUGAACGUAGUCUAUCUCAAUUAUUAUUUACUGGCAACUCUUUUAAAUAAAUAAGAUACUAAAUCUCAUCUCAAUGUUACAUGUUUGGAUGAAAUGGGAGAAUUUCCUCACAAAAGAGCCUUGAGGUGUGCACAAUAUGAUGUGCAUCACAAACACCUCUGCCUGAAACAUCAUUUCCCGUCGACGUCAAACAGCUCAAAAGACCAAGUUAUGUCGGCCGGUUAAGAGUGAUUUUGCACUCUGAAACACUGGCUAACAUCAAGGCGCACAUAGAUACUGAUAAUUGGAAUAACAAAGUGAUUGCAGGCGGCAUUUGAACGCAAAUAUACAGGUAACGAGUUCAAACGGGUGCAGUUAAUACAGGUGAGUGGAGAACAGGAGGACUUCCUAAACUGUGAGAGACGGAAUUCUUACAAAAUCAUACAAUGUGAUUUUCUGGAUUUGUUUUACAUUCCGUCACUCACAGUUGAAGAGAACCUAUGAUAAAACUGACAGACCUCUACAUGCUUUGUAAGUGGAAAAACCUGCAAAAUUGGCAGUAUAUAUAUAUAUAUAUAUAUAUAUAUAUAUAUAUAUAUGUAUAUAUAUGUAUGUAUAUAUAUGUAUGUAUAUAUAUGUAUUGGCUGAUAUUCCUCUCCCAUUGGGAGCCCUCUAGGCGCUUUAGACCUGACCUAUUAACGAUUCAGCCAACCGCCCUGAAGUUUAUGGAUAAAAUAACGCCAUGGAGCAGUAUUCCUGUCACUGGGAUGAUUUCUCUCUCGCUUGUCCUCCUGAAAACAGGUGCCAUCAUCGGCGGAUGGUAGAAGCUUCAGAGGGAAGAGAGACUGAGGGGAGAUAAAGAGAGUGAAGAGGACUUUGAGUAACAGCUCAUUUUUUAUUUGGCAACACUUCAAAUGUAGCCCGUUUACCACGUCUAGACGAGACAGCUUUCAAAGCCCGGGGAAGAGCGCUGUGUUUCCUUUUUCUCUCUUUUUUUGUACUACUAUAAAAGCUAUUUACUGUACCAGCAGAAGACAGACAUCUCUUUUACUUUUCCACAGACGCUCCGCUGCUCCUCUACGUUGCAGAUGAGUUUGUCAGAUGCCUCCGUCCACCUCUCUUUUCUCUCAGCGUAACCCUCCUCCUCGCUCCUGCAGCAGUCCGUUUGAAGCUGGGAGAGAAGUGAGGCAAUCUGACCCCCGUUUGAUGGAUAAUUUGAAAAAGCCAGUGUGCGAGAUCAGGGCCGAGGCGACGUUGGCUUUCUGGUGGCUGGGCUUCAGACGGCAGGUCGCACAAAAGGGACUCGUUCUCUCUCUGUGGCCUUUUAAAUUCGACAGUCGGCGCGCUGAGACCGCUUAUGUACUCCGACUGCCGCCACAAGCUUUCAUGUGGCUCUUUGUGCCGUUUUUCUCAUAUUAAAUGCUGCAGUGCGCUUUCUACUUCAAAUGUUUGUGGUUUUACAUCAGGUGCAUCUUAAGCAUCACUCUGCUUUCCUGCUUGAUAACUGCAAGACGAACACGAUUUCAACAACUCGUUAUUAUUACUUCUUAUUGAUAGGAUGGAGGUAUUUCGAGUGCCAGAAUUCACUUAUUCCAUAACUGAUUGCACUGAGGCAUUUGAUCAGAUUGAACAAAUGUGUGCUGUGUAUUGUAUUAUUAUUUAUGCAGUAUAAAGAGAUAAAUGUCAAAAUAAUAUUAGGAAAAUGGUUGGAUAAAGAUUAAAUAUGAAAAAGUCCCCAAAAUUCACAAUAAAAGGCUGUUAAAAAGUAUAGAGUAGAUACGAUCAAUCUAAACACACUAAAAACAACAAUAUAUUAAAAUACAUUAUUAAUUUUAAAACAGCACAAGAUUCAAGUUAUACUUUCAUAAAUAUAAAAAAGUAAAAUAAAUGCACCCUAAUCUGGUUUCCACAAAUGCAAAAGGUGUAGUUUUAGAAAUAAAAUAAAAUACUGCAUUCGUCAUGCAGCUGUGGUGAAGCAAAUAUCGACCCGUGAAAAUCUCCAUCAUAUUGAUUUUUGUUAGCAAUUUUUAAAUAAAUAUUUUCAUUAUUUUAAAAUGUUUUAUUAAAGAGCAUAAGGGCAACGUUUUUAUUUUAAAGCUGAGAAGAAAAUGUUUGCUAAUUUGAGGUUUUCUCACAAAGGCUGCAGCUUGCGACCAACUCUGACGGUGAAGAUCGGUGAAGUCAAUCUUUAAGAGUCAUGCUGACAUGAAAAAAAAAAGAGCCAGAGCUACAAUGCCUCCAGGCUCAAUUCCAGCUGGUAACUGGCUGGUGGAGUAGAUCUGUGUUUUUGCAAGCCGCAGGGUGUCCUCCUCCUCCUCCUCCUCCUCCUCCUCCUCCUCCUUCGCCUCGCCGGCGGGCUCCUGCGCUCUCUGGUGACUCGGUGCGACUGUGGCUUCUGGGGAGUGUCUGCAAUGGGUGCCAUCUCCCUGCGGUGCUCAGCAGAGGUCUGAUGACGGGAAUCGAGGGGACAUGUUCGUCGUCUCCAACCGGCCAUCGGUCGACAUGGGUGGAGAAGGAGGGGUGGGGGGAUGCUGGGAAGUGGAGGGUGGAGCGGGUGCAUGGGAAUGGCUCGUUCUCGUCCUCCACCGCCCAGCAGAUCUGGCAUAUCACCAACGUUAUGGCGGUAAUUGAUUCUCCCUGUGCCAUUAGUCUCCGAGACAAAGACGCGCCAACGAGAGGGGGUUCUGUCACUUAGAGACUGGCAUGGCGCCCGGCCGCACACUCGUACCAACACACAAAUAGACACACGCAAAGAUGUACUCGACUUACGGCGCGCACACACGCGCGUUCCUCAACGCAUCGUUGGUAUUACGUCGGCUGUCAAGGUCUGCAGAAGCAAAAGCUUUGCUCAAACAUCUCAAACAUUGUUAACGCUGAAAUCUACACACCAAAAAACAAAAAUCCAAAUCAAAGGGAAUACAAAUGAGUGGUGAUUUGGAUUUGAUAUUCCUCUCUGAUACUGUUGUGUUUGUGGGGUUACUGAGGUCGUGGCAGAACAGAAUUCCUCCAAGAGACACACACACACACACACACAGAGUUAACCCACACGCACACUUGAAUAUGAAAAGAGAUGCUCCCCAGACAAAGAGCGCCGCAUGUCUUUAUCUUAUUAAAGUUAACGAGAGGCUGCUGUCUUCUGCCUGCAGACCAGCCCGUUGCCCCCACCCUGCCGCAGCGCCUCCAGGCCCUCUGUCGUCACAACGGUAAUGUUGCCCCCCCCUCUUUCCCCCCCCCCUGGACGUCACAACGGCCAUUGAUGGAAAACAUGACGGUGCCCGCGUCAACGUCCUCGCAGUUGUCACACGAGUGCCAAACGUUGCACGCCGUCGCCAUGGCAAUUGUGUUUUGUCGUCCUCUCUGACGCCGCUGCUCAUCACCAUGGCCACGGCUGCAGCACCUGCGAUACACUGAGGAAAAUAGUGGGAACAAAAGAAGGUAACACCUAGAACACAAAACACACACACACAAUAAGGAGUGCAUCCAUUGAAUGCCAAUUAACCACAUGGAGGAUAAGCGAUCGGAGACAACAGCCCCUAACAGCUAAUUAAAGACACGACAGCAUACAAUCCAGGAUCACUCAGAUCCGCUCGCCCGCUGCAAGAUCAGUGUUCUACUGAAAGUCAAAAGGUGAGCUCUGCCUUUCAGCGUCCGCGCUAGAAGAAGGGCCGUAGACCGGUGGCGGCCCUCCAUCACUCCAGCGAACCGCGCUGCCGUGCCGUAUCUCGCUUUUCGAGGCCCGCUCCGACUUGGAUGCUCAUUUGGAGUCUGUAAUUAAUUGGAGCCCCUAUCUUUUUUUUUCAUCUAUUUUUGUUUGGCUGUUGACCGACGUGUGGUCCUCUCACGCGCUCGUCUUCAGGUCGACGCGGCUCCCUAAUUAAGACUCCAGAGGACGGCUAAUUGCUGCUGCGUGCCUCUCGGCGGAGCAAGGGAGCCUUCUCCCGGCGCUGCCCAGAAAGAGCGCCCGAGUUCAGAGUUAAAAGGGCUUACGUAAGCUUGCGGUGAAACUAUUAAACGCCAACCAACUUUUCCUCGUGAGGAACUGCCACUUGAUUUAAUGGGCCUCAUUAAAAGUGCACAUCACAGAGAUCCGAGCCGCCCGCUCCAGCUUCACACGACAAUGGCAUAAUGGUUCUGCCUCCAUGCUGUCAAAGCCUAAUCCUAAAUACUCAACGGUGCUAUUGCUCCUGCAGGACGAUCCAAAAUGGGCUGCGGCGUUCUGGAAAACGGAGGAUUCACAUCAUUUGUCUUUUUUUUUUGACAAGGGGCAGAGAGGAGGAAGUGAAGGAAUGUGAGCGGCGAACAGCUCGGCGUCGUUUAUCGGAGGAGUCAGAUGGAGGAAUCUAGAGCUGAGCGAGAAUACAUCCGGCAUAGAGCUGAAAUACGGUUUUCAUUGCAGUCCUUGAAACGUUUGAAUGAGCCCCUUCCGACGGGGCGAGAUCACAUACGUGUUUGCGUUGUUUAUCAGGAGACUGGCGUGGUUGAGAUCUGAUUAAAUGUCACAAAGUAAAUCCUCACAUCCAUCAAAAGAUCCACGUGUCCAUUUUAACAAUCUUCUACGAUUGCGCUGUGCGUGUUUCUUAGACAAUAUGACUUUAAGAUACUAUGUAAAAAAAAAAAAACGACGUCAUCUUGUGGUUGUAUCGUCUAUCGUGGUUUUAGGGUUAGGGUUAGGGUUUUGGCCACUGCUUUUAUUAACCACCAACCACCAAACAUUUGACGAACAUGCAGCUACAUAGUGAACAAAAUAAAGCUUUCACCAGUUAGUCAAUUCCGACUCAAGUGGUCUCAUCGCACAGCGGUUUCUACCUAAAGUAUGCAAACUUUAGUCACAUAUUGGAAAGUAAGCAACAAACUCUUGAAUGCACAGGAUUGGGCAAGAGUUUAUUUAUCUCAUGUUUAAUUGAGAAAUAUCCACUUAAAAUCAGUCUUUGAAAGGGACAGCGCUUUUAGGUUUUGGUAGCAUAGCAACCACGUGAUUUGCCCCCUCGGCUUAACCCCCCCAUCAGCCGCUGAGUACAAAACCCUGGCGUCCUGUUUGCUUUGCUCAGAGGCUGUUGACUUUAAUAAUACCAUUUUAAGGGCAACAAAGGUCAGGCGGCUCACCUGGUAUCACAAGUCGGUACGAGCACUACGGAGGUCCUCAGCUCACGUAGGAACAUGGAAGGUCCCCAUGGAGCCGGUGUGGGGAGACACUUACUUAAGAGACACAAUUAAGGGAUGAGUAGAGCAAAGACCACCACCACCACCACCACAAUGGACCCCUCAGCAGAUUUACCCCCGGAACAUCCCUUCCCUUCAAACACAUGACUUGUGCUUCUCAUGGAGGCAAAAAAAAAGCUGUAAGAGAAGAAAGCGACAGAAAAAAAACAACAAAAACAAAAAUCAGGAAGAAGCUGGAAAUGAGUCCAACUCAUGCAUAACUUCAAACACUCCAUCUUCAAAGUUGCAUAACAUUAAAAACCGAGUCCUCCACAUCAAAAACCAGCCGGCAUCGAGGGGACACUGCCGAGCUGUGGCCUCGCUCUGAGGCACCACAUGCACCCAGCCUCCUCUUCAUCUUCAUCCUUUGUCGUCCCUGGCUGUUGUCCUCGGGGUAUUUAUUGUGGGGGAAUAGAGCAUUGUGGGUAAGAGGAGGGGCCAGGUGUUAAUGCACAUAGUGACUUUCCGCCCUGAGAGGAAGCAGACACAACGCAGGGAUCCUCGGGAGUCCUUUUAGAUGUGGACCGUACAGGUGCACCUGGACCGUAUAGGUACACCAGGUGCAUAUGAACCGUACAGGUACACCAGGUGCAUAUGGACCGUACAGGUACACCAGGUGCAUAUGGACCGUACAGGUACAUAUGGGCCGCGGGCCUGUUGGUCAAUAUAAGAUGCAACGAAUAACAUUACCGCUUUUACCAUUGUUGUUAUUCUACUGUAUCCAACGAUGUCAUUCAUACGCAUUGAACGUGCUGUGUGAUCAUUCUAAUGCACGUGUGUCCGUCCUCGGGGAGGGAUCCCUGCCCUGUGGCUCUCCCUGUGGUUUCUUCCUCUCUUUUUUCCCUCGCUGGUAGUUUUUCCUGUGAUGGAAGGAGUCCAAGGACAGAGAAUGUUGCGUGUGACCAGAUUUGUAAAGCCCGUUGAGGAUCAUUUGUGAAUCAGGAUCUUGGGCUAUGCAAAAUAAAUCCAAUUAAAUUAUUUCCAUCAUGUUACAUUUUAGGUCACAUCUAUUUGUGUGUAGAAAUCUAUUAUGUCGAUAAUAAAGAGUAUAGAUCAGUGAAUCCCAACUGUUUGGUCUGAUGUACCCAACAGCCUUGCGAGAUGAAAACCAGUACGUGUUGUAUACAUACAUGCAUAUGCCAUACGUAAGCCUCCGCUGCAUACAUAUAGUAACCCAUCUAUUAUUUAUUCCAGCUGCUUUUGCUCAAUUUUAUUAUUCCUGGUUACAUCAGUUUAAAUUGUUUGUGUUAAAUUUGGACGAUGUACGAAUGUACAUAAGCGUUUAUUAUAGUUAUGUGUUACAUAGUUAUAAGCUCUGUUGUCCUUUCUCAGUGUAUGUCAUUGAAAUGUGUGCAAGUCUACAAAGAGGAACUAAUAUAUAAACACAAAUAUUACCAAUACAGCUUACUCAGCAGGAAUAUUUUGUGAUCAGGUUGUCAUCGAGAAAAGACGAGGGAACUUAAACCAGAAACCGAGCCGUGGUUAAAAAGAAAACACACACACACACACGUCGGUAAUUUUCCGUCUUGGCUUUUCCCCUUCUUUGUCACUUUCAAAUGCUCCUGACAAAUUCUCCAAUACACUGACAAACACAUACAAAAUCCCGCCCACGCGUUUAAACAGAAAAAAAGCUCUCGACGAGCGUACCUUUCCUCCCACAUAUGUUGACAUACGCUCAUGAACAAACUGGUAAUGUUCCAUCAAAGCUUAUAGCGCCCAUUAAAACUCAGAGACAAACAUGGAGGCACGCGCGUGGUUAACGCCCACGCGCUCUUCAGCGGCGUGCCUUUCCGUCACCACAAUUGCCGGUGACAAUCAUGUACCCCCUCAAUUACACCUGGCUAAUUGUUGAGAUGACACAUUACCAUAGAGACUCACAAAGACAGGUCACACACAAUAUAUAUAAAUACAUUCAUUAUUUCAGGGGAAACGUAUAGAACCACAGCUUUAUCUCAUAAUCAGAUAAUGAAUUAUUUAAGCUUCCCUAAGCAGGCUGCGUGAACCGAUGGAGAUAAAGUAGAAGUUAUCUUUUUUUUUUUUCUUUUUUUUUUACCUCAAACAUACACACACAUCUUGUGCACGGUACACAGCACACACUUUGCCUGAAGGAUUUUAAUUUGAGAUGCAGACUCCGGUGUCAUAGUGAAUGAUAUUAAAAGUCGUACCAUGAAUAAAUCAGGAGACAGAGGACUCACCUCAGCAAUGCGACGGAUAAGCAAAGAGAAACCGCACGCCGGAGGAGAGGGAGUGGUAGGGGUGGGGGGGGGGGGAGGGUCCAACGCUGACAGAGGAAAGGGCAAUAAAUAAAGACACUCGCAUUUUUAACAAUACACACUGCGCCGCUGUUCGGCGUAGGCCAUUAGUUUAUGGCACUUCUUAACAAGGCCGUAAUUACUUUACUGCUGGAUCCACGACGUACCUUCAUCCGUCUUCUGAUCGCUCAACAAUGCUGUUUCGCGGCGGUUUCCCCCGCAGGAGUUCGCGUUCACAACGGAGGCCCUCAUUUGUGACAAAUCACUCCGGCGCAAAACACAGAUUGAAAUUGACAAUUCGUCAAUUCGCCGUGUGGUUUGUGACAUGAGAAAGGAAAAAGCACAGCAGUGGCGGGACGUGCAUCCAGAAAUACUGAAGGGCCGAAAAUUCAUUCACUGAAAAAUCUCACUUGUUGGUGAACGACUCCAGAACCACAGCUGGCGGACGGGAGAGCAACGCGUCGGACUUUCAUGCAGGUGCUAUCCAGGUCAAUCAAGCGGAAAAGCAGCUAGCCUAGCAUCGCCGUACCAGGAGAAUAUUUCAGCAAUUUAAUAACGUCUUAAUAAAGACAUGGUGUGUUUUGCCUCGUUGCGUUCUGUAUAAGGCUCAUUUAAAACACGUUUGUCUUUAUGUGCACAUGUAGUGAAAUUCAGUUUUGGUUUCCAAUAUUUAAACUAUAAAGAAUAAAAAACACAAAGGAAAAGCAAUCGGAUCUCUGUUACUUUCACCACAAAUGUCACAUAUUUGUUGAAAGCAUAGUUGUGCAUUUUAAGUUCAUUUGUAUUAUUUCCAAGGGUUUGGUGAUCAGCACCGUGAGCAAGUCUGCAUGUUAAGUACAGAGCUUGGAGGUGAUUAGCCCACCUUAGUGAAGAAAAGCACCGAGUGCAGGGAGAGAAAGCUAAUUAGCUUUGUCCGGAUUUAGUCUCAUUCUCUACACAGAUGUGAGAUGUCGAUCUUUCCAUUUUCAAGCUACCGACACAAAGUAUGAAAUCUUAUUUGCCAAAACUAAUCAUUUAAAGCAGUAGCCAUCCUUCUAUUGGGCAGAAAAAAUAAAUCCCGGUACUUAAACAUUUCUGUUUUGAUUUGUUUGUGUUAUCAUGGUUCAAACUAUUUAUUUUAGUCCACUUUGGGGCAGUGAAAUAAAGUUGUAAAGACACAAUUGCUUUAGCUGCUGUGGCAGACUUAUUAGCAAAAAAAUCCUUUUAGCUCAUCGUCCACCGGCUCUAGAGGAAUAAUAUAUCUGGCCAUUUAGCCUCUAAAUGUGUCGGCCUGCAGAUUACACAUCUAAAGUUUAUAGUGGGUUGGUAGCUUUCCUCUGAAAAAUCAGUAACUGUAGACUUUGGUCUUUCAAAAGGUUUCAAAGCUUAACGAUUGGCUGGAAGAUGCAAAGAAGUCCCAACGUUGUCACUAUGUGUGACAUAUUUCACACACACAUCAUAUUUAGUUUGCUUGACAUAUUGAUUAAUGCAGUUUUCAGCCGUCAACCAGGUUGGCUCUUCCCCGUCCACGGCUGCAUGAACAAAAAGGUCUGUAAACCUAAAAUGUCUUUAUUUUACGUUUCCUCCACAGUCAUUCUUUUGUAUAUAUAUAUUAAAUAAAUUACCCAUUUGUUUCCCAUGAAUAGAUGAUCCUAACACGGCCUCAGGGACUCGCGGCCUCGGGAUGAAUCGAGUCCAAUGAUGCUCUGAACAUCCCCCACCCAUGAGACCCACCCAGAGCCAUUCAUGGGGGUCGGGGGGGACAAAUGAACACAGACAAAAGAGGGGAAAAUCAGCCCGCUUAUAUAUCUGUGGGUGGGAGGCCGCCCGGAUCUUGCAGCUUGGCCGAGAGGAGGGUCCACCACCGCAACCAGAGUCCCGUGUGUGUGUGUGUGUGUGUGUGUGUGUACAUGAAUAUGCAUGUUUGUGUAUGCGUCUGUGCUGCGGUUGCCUCUGAGGGGAGACGGCGGUGCUGUCGGCAGGUUAAUCCAGCCCUCAGGCUAAGCAUCAAAAUUUCAGAUCAGGGAAUCAAUAAUUCAGACAGCAGCUUGUCAGGAUCUAUCACGGAACACAGACUGAGAGGCAGCGAAGGCGCAGAGGUGAUUUACAGCCUCACACAGCCGACACACACGGGUGGAAAAAAAAACGGGAAAAAAUGGUGGACGCAGACUCGCCGCGUAAUUGCGCGCUCAAAUCGCGGCCAGGGAUACAGGCGCGGCACGCUCGGAGGGAAACAUGCGCGUACAC